GCCUGCUUGGCUAAGUGGUACAGCGCGGCACUUGUAAUGCCGAGAUCACUCGUUCGAACCGGGUAGUAGGCA